rnacentral:lncRNA from 1 species
AAUUUAAAAAAAAAAUUCAAAACCAGAUGCUCCGCAGGGCGCAGCCUUAUACGACCGCAAAGGUUGAACCCUGAACGGUUGGGGCAAGUAUGGACACAACAUUCAAGCUGGAUUCAGCUCUAAAUUUGGAUUGUGAUUAAAUAGUUGACACAGCAUAGGUUUCUGACACAGAAUGAAUGUGGUCUAAUGAAUUUAAAAUAUUUUUUUUGCCUUUGAGCAAUUCACUAUGCUGUUGAAUAUUAAUCCUCUAAAAAAAUGUUUGAAGAAAUUUUCUUUUUAUUUAUCCAAUCUGAAAUGAGAAAUUUACCUCCCCCCCCCCUUUUUUUCAUAUCCCCCUUUCCCUUUUUCCAAAACUGAUCUCAAUUCAAAUUUCUAAUGGAG